GCCUAUGGCCAUGCCACCCUGAAUGUGCCCAAUCUCAUCUGAUCUCAGAAGCUAAGCAGGGUCGGGCCUGGUUAGUUCUUGAAUGGGAGACAAUUUAGGAAUAUCAGGUGCUGUAGGGA
ensembl:rRNA 5S_rRNA 5S ribosomal RNA